rnacentral:sRNA from 1 species
GGUAGUGAGUUAUUUCAAUUAUUGUUCAGUCUAUUAGAACACCUUGUUACUCUUUCCCUCCUCACUACUGCAC